UCCCGUUGAUCCUGCGGGAGAGCGCUGCUAUUUGGUUUCCACUUAGCCAUGCAAGUCCAGGGGGUUCUUUGGAACCACCGGCGAAAUGCUCAGUAACACGUCAUUAACCUUCCCUUAGAUCUGGAAUAACCUUGGGAAACUGAGGCUAAUACCGGAUAGAGAAUUAAUACUGGAAUUGUAUUUUUCUUCAAAGCUUCGGUGUCUAAGGAUGGGAUGGCGGCUGAUUAGGUUGUUGGCGAGGUAAUGGCUCACCAAGCCGAAGAUCAGUACAGGCCUUGAGAGAGGUAACCUGGAGAAGGGCACUGAGAAAAGGGCCCUAGCCCUAAGGGGUGCAGCAGGCGGGAAACCUUUACAAUACACGAAAGUGUGAUAAGGGGAACCAAAGUGCUUGCCUACGGGUGAGCUUUUGUCAAGCACAAAUACCUUGACGAAUAAGUGGUGGGCAAGACCGGUGCCAGCCGCCGCGGUAACACCGGCGUCCACGAGUGGCGUUCGCGAUUAUUGGGCCUAAAGCGUCCGUAGCCGAUUCGGAAAGUUCUUUGAUAAAUCGUCAAGCUUAACUUGGCGGCUCCAAAGAAUACUAUCGAGUUAGGGACCGGAAGGAGGCAGAAGUACUCUUUGGGUAGCGGUAAAAUGCGAUAAUCCUUGGAGGACUACCUGUGGCGAAGGCGUCUGCCUAGUACGGAUCCGACGGUGAGGGACGAAGGCUGGGGGAGCGAACCGGAUUAGAUACCCGAGUAGUCCCAGCUGUAAACGCUGCGAGCUAUGUGUUGCACAACCUCCGUGGUUGUGCAGUGCCGGAGCGAAGGCGUUAAGCUCGCCGCCUGGGAAGUACGGUCGCAAGACUGAAACUUAAAGGAAUUGGCGGGGGCGCACUACAAGGGGUGCGGCGUGCGGUUUAAUCAGAUUCUACACCGUAAACCUCACCAGGAACGACGGCAGAAUGAAGGUCAGAUUAAAGGUCUUACCUAACAAGCCGAGAGGAGGUGCAUGGCCGCCGUCAGCUCGUGCCGCAAGGUGUCCAGUUAAGUCUGGCAACGAGCAAGACCUAUAUCUUUAGUUGCUAUCGAGCUCUCCGGGGCGAUCGAGCACACUAGAGAGACUGCCUUGGAAACGAGGAGGAAGGUAUAGGCAACGGUAGGUGGUAUGCCCUGAAUUUCCUGGGCUACACGCGCGCAACAAUGGUACGGACAAUUGGUCGCGACUCCGAAAGGAGAAGCUAAUCCCCUAAACCGUAUCUUAGUCUAGAUCGAGGAUUGCAACUCAUCCUCGUGACAAUGGAAUCCCUAGUAAUCGCUCGUCAUCAGCGAGCGGUGAAUAUGUCCCUGUGCCUUGCACACACUGCCCGUCAAACCAUUCGAGCAGGGUUCAUGUGAGGCUUAUGUUUUUGCGUAAGUCGAACAUGGAUUCAGUAAGAAGGGUUAAGUCGUCACAAGGUA
rnacentral:rRNA from 1 species